GCUGCUGGGAGAUUGAUCGCACUGUCAAUUUUUCAUGGAGGUCCUGCACCACAUUGUUUCUCUCCCCUCUUGGUCCAUGCCUUGCAGUUUGGACCUAAAGAAACCAAGGUUAAAUGGUCAGACCUUCCGGAUGGGGAACUAAAAGAAGACUUGAAGGAGCUACUAAAGGCACGGACAGAAACAGCUAGGAGUCGGGCCUUGGGAAAAUUGGAACAUUUCUUUACCUAUGCUGGAAUCCCAUUUUACAAUUGUUCCACCCAGGAAUCUGUGGAACAGCUUGUUAAAACAGCCUCACAUUCAUACAUGUUUGAUCGGACUAGCGAGGCAUUUAGACACUCGAUGAGCCAGGAUCAAAUUCCCGGGUGAACCAAGCCCAGUGCAUUGCUUUUUGGAGGGAUUAUUUGGAGGAGGUAGAAGAAGAAACUGUGGCGCUAAAGUUCAGUCAGAUUCUCCAGUUUUGUACUGGAGCAAAAGAGGUGCCACCAUUGGGAUUCAGUCCACAACCAACAAUUGCUUUUUGGGACGAAAAGUACCCGAAAGCCAAUACAUGUGCAAAUACACUGGUUUUACCCACUACAUCCAAGAGGUAUAAGGAAUUUGUGGGGAACAUUGAAUUUGGCAUUUUGAACGCUCAGGGUUUCCUCAUUGAGUGAAAGAUGUAUAUAGGUAUACAGCAUUUUUAGCCCACCAUCAACAGAUGGUGGGCUAUUCAAAUCACUCUGCGUCAAUGGUCCGUCCUUCUUCUGUCCGUAAACAGUUCUUGUUACCGCUACUUCUCGGAAC